GACGAAGGGGGCUAGCGUUGUUCGGAAUUACUGGGCGUAAAGCGCGUGUAGGUGGUUGUCAUAGUCAGGUGUGAAAGCCUUGAGCUCAACUCAAGAAAUGCACUUGAUACUGGGCGACUAGAGGACCGGAGAGGAUAGUGGAAUUCCCAGUGUAGUGGUGAAAUACGUAGAGAUUGGGAAGAACACCAGUGGCGAAGGCGGCUAUCUGGACGGUUUCUGACACUAAGACUCGAAAGCUAGGGGAGCAAACGGG
rnacentral:rRNA from 1 species